UGGGGAAUAUUGGACAAUGGGCGAAAGCCUGAUCCAGCCAUGCCGCGUGUGUGAAGAAGGCCUUUUGGUUGUAAAGCACUUUAAGCGAGGAGGAGGCUACUUGGAUUAAUACUCUAGGAUAGUGGACGUUACUCGCAGAAUAAGCACCGGCUAACUCUGUGCCAGCAGCCGCGGUAAUACAGAGGGUGCGAGCAUUAAUCGGAUUUACUGGGCGUAAAGCGUGCGUAGGCGGCUUUUUAAGUCGGAUGUGAAAUCCCUGAGCUUAACUUAGGAAUUGCAUUCGAUACUGGGAAGCUAGAGUAUGGGAGAGGAUGGUAGAAUUCCAGGUGUAGCGGUGAAAUGCGUAGAGAUCUGGAGGAAUACCGAUGGCGAAGGCAGCCAUCUGGCCUAAUACUGACGCUGAGGUACGAAAGCAUGGGGAGCAAACAGG
rnacentral:rRNA from 1 species